rnacentral:rRNA from 1 species
AGUGAACGCUGGCGGUAGGCCUAACACAUGCAAGUCGAACGGCAGCACAGUAAGAGCUUGCUCUUACGGGUGGCGAGUGGCGGACGGGUGAGGAAUACAUCGGAAUCUACUUUUUCUGGGGGGACAACGUAGGGACACUUACGCUAAUACCGCAUACGACCUACGGGUUAAAGCAGGGGAUCUUCGGACCUUGCGCGAUUGAAUGAGCCGAUGCCGCAUUAGCUAGUUGGCAGGGUAAAGGCCCACCAAGGCAACGAUCCGUAGCUGGCCUGAGAGGAUGAUCAGCCACACUGGAACUGAGACACGGUCCAGACUCCUACGGGAGGCAGCAGUGGGGAAUAUUGGACAAUGGGCGAAAGCCUGAUCCAGCCAUACCGCGUGGGUGAAGAAGGCCUUCGGGUUGUAAAGCCCUGUUGUUGGGAAAGAAAAGCAGUAGGUUAAUACCCCGCUGUUCUGACGGUACCCAAAGAGUAAGCACCGGCUAACUUCGUG